rnacentral:rRNA from 1 species
UGAAUACGUUCCCGGGCCUUGUACACACCGCCCGUCACGUCAUGAAAGUCGGUAACACCGAAGCCGGUGGCUUAACCCCUUGUGGGAGGGAGCCGUCGAAGGUGGGAUCGGCGAUUGGGACGAAGUCGUAACAAGGUAGCCGUACCGGAAGGUGCGGCUGGAUCACCUCCUUUCUAAGGAGCAUCU